GGGUUGUGAGGUUAAGCGACUAAGCGUACACGGUGGAUGCCCUGGCAGUCAGAGGCGAUGAAGGACGUGCUAAUCUGCGAAAAGCGCCGGCGAGGUGAUAUGAACCUUUGACCCGGCGAUGUCCGAAUGGGGAAACCCAGUGUGUUCCGACACACUAUCGUUAACUGAAUACAUAGGUUAACGAGGCGAACCGGGGGAACUGAAACAUCUAAGUACCCCGAGGAAAAGAAAUCAACCGAGAUUCCCCCAGUAGCGGCGAGCGAACGGGGAGCAG
rnacentral:rRNA from 1 species